rnacentral:lncRNA from 10 species
GAAAGAGUUGUCAGGCAAUCCUUCCUGGUCACCGGGCAGAAAAAGAGAGGCAGUUAUAGACACACUGGAUCAUAUAAGUGACACUCAGAAACAGCCACACACUAUCUGUGGAUUCUAUUUUUCUACGAUGCUUGCUUUCUUUACCGAGGUCUUUGGCAUGUCCACGUUUCCAGGAAAGCACUGGACCCAUCUACUCUGAAACAAAGGAACAACUUCCAGGAUAACAAAGAAAAAGUCAGUUUUUACCACCAAGACACCUUGGAUAAAAGAUAGGAAAAACCCAUCCUUGUCAAUGGGCUCUGCAAUGCCAGCUGUGGAGUCUGAGUGCUGGCUUCCUCUCUGGGGCACCUGGACACAGGAACAGGAAGCUGAAAGGUGGAUCCUGCUUUAAGUGGGGAGCUGUGCUCGCAUUUGGUGGGACCAGAUGCUACAAGGCGAGUGGUGGCAGGCCCUUGGCAAGGUGAUUUGGGAGGAGGGAAGAAAUUGCCAUGGAAAUGCAACCAAUACUUAAUCUAUUCUAGGAUCUGAUAUUUGGGAUAAAAUAUUACAUCAUCCUAUAAAAAUCAGUUCAGUUUCUCUAAAGUGAAAAAGGAAUACUUUUAUGCCACUGACUUUUUUUUUUUUUUUUUUUGAGACAGAGUCUUGCUCUGUCUCCAGGCUGGAGUGCAGUGGUGCAAUCUUGGCUCACUACAACCUCCGCCUCCCAGGUUCAAGCUGUUCUCCUGCCUCAGCCUCCUGAGUAGCUGGGAAUACAGGUGCACAUCACCACACCUGGCUAAUUUUUGUAUUUUUAGUAGAGACAGGGUUUCCCCAUGUUGGCCAGGAUGGUCUCGAUCUCCUGACCUUGUGAUCCACUUGGCUUGGCCUCCCAAAGUGCUGGGAUUACAGGCGAGAGCCAACGCGCCCGGCCGACUGUUUUUUAAUUGAGAUGAAAUUCAUAUAACUAAAAUUAACCAUUUAAAGGUGAACAGUUCAGUGGCAUUUAGUCUAUUCACAAUGUUGUGCAACUAUCACCUCUAUCUAGCUUUGAAACAUUUUCAUUACCCCAAAAUGAGACCCUAUAACCCAUUAAGUGGUCACUCUCCAUUUCUCCCUCCUCCCAGUCCUUAGUAACCAAAAACUUGCUUUCUGCCUCUAUGGAUUUAUCUAUUCUGGAUAUUUCAUGUACAUAGAAUCAUAUAAUAUGUGACUUUUUAUGUUUGGCUUCUUCUAUUUUGCAUAAUGUUUUCAAGGUUCAUUUGUUAUAGCAUGUAUCAAUACAUUCAUUUUAUUUUUAUCUUUUGAGACAAAGUCUCACUGUGUCACCUGGGCUGGAGUGCAGUGGCUCGUGAUAAUGGCUCACUGCAGCCUCGACCUCCCGGGCUCAAGUGAUCCUCCCACCUCAGCCUCCUGAGUAGCUAGGAUUAUAGGUGUGUACCACCAUGCCCAGCCA